UUCUCAGCUCACAUCGACAACAUGCUGCUGACUCUCUGUACUCUGAUCACUGCAUUAACAUGUGUGAGUGGUGUGACGGUGCUCACACAGAAACCUCCUGUUCUAUCAGUGAGGAAAGGAGAGACAGCCACCGUGGACUGUAACCUGGGGACUGUUACUGGCAGUAAUGCUCGGUGGUAUAAACAGAUUCCAGGAGAAGUUCCUCAGUUUGUGCUGAGGUUUCAUCAUAGCUGGGGUUCUCCAACCUAUGGCUCUGGGUUCUCUGCUCCAAAAUUCACAUCCACUCAUCAGUCAACAACAGAUUAUCGUUUGAUCAUCAAAAAUGUGGAGGAGGGAGACUCUGCAGUCUAUUACUGUAAGACACAUGACAACUCUGUCGAUGAGUUCGUAUCACAGUGAUUUAUACUGUGACAAAAACCUCCUCACUGUUACUUCUCCUUUUUUGGAUUUUUACACAUACUGAUAACUAAGACAGUGUAUAUUCACCACCUAAAGAAAGUAUUAUUCAAUAAAUGUUAUUUUUAUUGACAAACAUCAGACUGCACUAACGUUGUUCCACCAUAUGAUUAACUAAUAUAUUUUAUAUGAACAUUUUUUAUGUCAGACAUGUAAAAAUGAUUAUGAACCAGAAACACUGAUGAUAUGAGUUAUAGUUGUUGUUUUGAAGACUCAUCUGAAUAAACUAGGAAUAUAAUGUGACUGACAUUAUAAUGCUCAAAUUUGAAGGUGGAAACACUUAUAUAUUUCUCUUGCUUUUUAUACUCACUGUCAACAGUUUCUAAGUUAUCAUAUUUGCAAACAACC